UGGGGAAUUUUGGACAAUGGGGGGAAACCCUGAUCCAGCCAUCCCGCGUGUGCGAUGAAGGCCUUCGGGUUGUAAAGCACUUUUGGCAGGAAAGAAACGUCGCGGGUUAAUACCCCGCGAAACUGACGGUACCUGCAGAAUAAGCACCGGCUAACUACGUGCCAGCAGCCGCGGUAAUACGUAGGGUGCAAGCGUUAAUCGGAAUUACUGGGCGUAAAGCGUGCGCAGGCGGUUCGGAAAGAAAGAUGUGAAAUCCCAGAGCUUAACUUUGGAACUGCAUUUUUAACUACCGGGCUAGAGUGUGUCAGAGGGAGGUGGAAUUCCGCGUGUAGCAGUGAAAUGCGUAGAUAUGCGGAGGAACACCGAUGGCGAAGGCAGCCUCCUGGGAUAACGACUGACGCUCAUGCACG
rnacentral:rRNA from 1 species